rnacentral:rRNA from 1 species
AGUGAACGCUGGCGGUAGGCCUAACACAUGCAAGUCGAACGGCAGCACAGUAAGAGCUUGCUCUUACGGGUGGCGAGUGGCGGACGGGUGAGGAAUACAUCGGAAUCUACUUUUUCGUGGGGGAUAACGUAGGGAAACUUACGCUAAUACCGCAUACGACCUACGGGUGAAAGCAGGGGAUCUUCGGACCUUGCGCGAUUGAAUGAGCCGAUGGCGGAUUAGCUAGUUGGCGGGGUAAAGGCCCACCAAGGCGACGAUCCGUAGCUGGUCUGAGAGGAUGAUCAGCCACACUGGAACUGAGACACGGUCCAGACUCCUACGGGAGGCAGCAGUGGGGAAUAUUAGACAAUGGGCGCAAGCCUGAUCCAGCCAUACCGCGUGGGUGAAGAAGGCCUUCGGGUUGUAAAGCCCUUUUGUUGGGAAAGAAAAGCAGCAGGUUAAUACCCCGCUGUUCUGACGGUACCCAAAGAAUAAGCACCGGCUAACUUCGUG